UAUAUAUACAUAUAUAUAUAUAUAUAUAUAUAUAUAGAGUCCGGCUACUAUACUAUUGAUAGUACCAAGCCUUUGGUACUAUAGAGUUUUCUACCGUUAGAUUUACCCUGUGAUCAUUUUCACCCGUUAGAUUAUACUAUUAAACCAACCACCCACUCAACUCUAGGAGACCACUAUCAUCCUAACCGCACAUUCUUUCAUCAAACGGCCAAAAACUCAAUAGUACCAAGGACUUGGUACUAUUGAUAGCAUAGGAGCAUAGUUCUAUAUAUAUAUAUAUAUAGUCCGGCUACUAUACUUUUAUGAGUAUGAUCGCAUUCAUACUCAUAAGUUGUUUUCGAUAAUAGAGCUUCCGAAUCGACAAUCCAGACUGUUAAACAUUAUCUAGAGCAUUUAAAACUUUUAGAAAUCAAAUUUUAUAAUUUUUCGAUAUCAUUUACCUUACGAUCAAAAG
rnacentral:lncRNA from 1 species